rnacentral:rRNA from 1 species
UGGCGGCGUGGUUAAGACAUGCAAGUCGGACGAGAUUUUUCGUUGUAGCAAUACGAUGGGAAGUUUAGUGGCGAACGGGUGCUUAACACGUGGGCAAUCUGUCUUGAAGUGGGGGAUAGCUCGGCGAAAGCCGAAUUAAUACCGCAUGUGAUUAGAAUGGACAUCCAUUCAAAAUUAAAGUCGGGGCAACCUGACGCUUUUUGAGGAGCCCGCGGCCUAUCAGCUUGUUGGUGAGGUAACGGCUCACCAAGGCAUUGACGGGUAGCUGGUCUGAGAGGACGACCAGCCACACUGGGACUGAGACACGGCCCAGACACCUACGGGUGGCAGCAGUCGAGAAUUUUUCUCAAUGGGGGAAACCCUGAAGGAGCGACGCCGCGUGGAGGAUGAAGGUCUUCGGAUUGUAAACUCCUGUCAUUGGGGAACAAGUCGCUUACGUUAACUGCGUGAGCGUUGAUAGUACCCGAAGAGGAAGAGACGGCUAACUCUGUGCCAGCAGCCGCGGUAAUACAGAGGUCUCAAGCGUUGUUCGGAUUCAUUGGGCGUAAAGGGUGCGUAGGCGGCGCGGUAAGUCGGGUGUGAAAUCUCGGAGCUUAACUUCGAAACUGCAUUCGAUACUGCCGUGCUUGA